rnacentral:rRNA from 1 species
UACGUAGGUGGCAAGCGUUGUCCGGAUUUACUGGGCGUAAGAGCGCGCAGGCGGUCGAUCAAGUCGCGUGUGAAAGCCCCCGGCUCAACUGGGGAGGGUCACGCGAUACUGAUCGACUCGAAGGCAGGAGAGGGUAGUGGAAUUCCCGGUGUAGUGGUGAAAUGCGUAGAUAUCGGGAGGAACACCAGUGGCGAAGGCGACUACCUGGCCUGUUCUUGACGCUGAGGCGCGAAAGCU